AAACACCGUACGAUCUCCGAACUUAAGCAAUGUCGAGCCUGAGCAGUAUCUAAAUGGGUGACCGCUUGGGAAUAGCAGGUGCUGUAAG